rnacentral:rRNA from 1 species
UACGGAGGGGGCUAGCGUUGUUCGGAAUUACUGGGCGUAAAGCGCGCGUAGGCGGCUUUGUAAGUUAGAGGUGAAAGCCCAGGGCUUAACCCUGGAAUUGCCUUUAAGACUGCAUUGCUAGAAUCGUGGAGAGGUGAGUGGAAUUCCGAGUGUAGAGGUGAAAUUCGUAGAUAUUCGGAAGAACACCAGUGGCGAAGGCGACUCACUGGACACGUAUUGACGCUGAGGUGCGAAAGCGUGGGGAGCAAACAGG